GACAAACGCUGGCGGCGUGCUCCAAACAUGCAAGUCAAACGGAGUUUGAGGGAGCUUGCUCCUGAAAACUUAGGGGCGGACGGGUGAGUAACGCGUGACCAAUCUGGCUAUUACAGGGGGAUAACAGUUGGAAACGACUGCUAAUACCGCAUAUGACCACAACCUGACAUCGGGAAGGGGUGAAAGGAGCAAUCCGGUAAUAAAUGAGCUUGCGUCUCAUUACCUAGUUGGUGAGGGUAACGGCCCACCAAGGCAACAAUGAGUAGCCAAUCUGAAAGGAUGACCGGCCACACUGGUAUUGAAAACGGACCAAACUCCUACGGGAGGCAGCAUUUAGGAAUAUUGGGCAAUGGAGGAAACUCUGACCCACCAACGCCGCGUGAAGGAAGAAGGUUUUCGGAUUGUAAACUUCUGAUCUGUGGGAAAAAAAGAAUGACGGUACCACAGGAAAAAGCCACGGCUAACUACGUGCCAC
rnacentral:rRNA from 1 species